GACGUCACAAUGUCUGAAGAGAAUUUAUCAGCGACGUCACAAUGUGUCAGAAGACAUUAUCAAACAUGCUUUCUUCAAGCGUCAAACUGUCUUAGAAAGAUAAAAAAAAAAAAGGUCAGUUAUUCCACGAUUUAUAGAUCUUUCUUCGUAUAAAUAUCGUACAAAAAUCAGCCUCUCGACAAAAACUGAAUUUUUUUAAUUUAUUUUCUGCGCUCACUCGUCAAACCGUUUCACAUUGUGGCUCGAGGCUAAUAUUUUACGAAAUCAAUAUGUAGAAAACCCAAUAAUCUCUACCUCGGUGCGUCCUUUGCAUUUAAUAUUGUUAUGUGUAUGGAGAGUUGUCUCAUUGGCACUCAUACCACAUGUUCCUAUAUCCAUAAAUGAACUUCAGAUGCUUCUCAUUUUGAUAUAUUUCUCAAUCUUGACAUAGAUGUGCGACUUUAAACCAAAACAUAUGAAAUAAUCGUCUUUUCCGCUUUCAAAUUGUCAACUUACCAUUUCUCCGCAGUAAUGUAUUUUCUUUCAAGUCGUAUCUUGUUUAUAUAUCUGAAUGAAAACUUGCUCUCUUGUUUAUAAGUCUGAAUUAAUACUUGCUCUAUUGUUUAUAUAUCUGAAUUAAUACUUGCUCUCGUGUCGGUUCUUCAUAAACAUUGACAAUCUCCUUGCAAAACACUGCUUCAACACAGUAAUGAUGAAGAAAGAUUAGAAUAAAUUGUCUGUACGUUUUAAGUCGUCAAUGAGAAUUACGACAUAUUAUUUGCGAUCUCAUAUCUCUGCAAACCAAGUUUGGGUCUUUGACAGCUGACUAUACGGUAUUGGUGUCGUAAAUUUAAUACAUCAACUUCACUUGAACUUUGGUUGUUAGUUGUCUCAUUUUAAAAUCAUACCACUUCUCAGUGUCUUCAUAGUUUAUAAGGUGAUAUCUUGUAAUGCAUUUUAUCUAAAUUUGCCAUAUCUAUAAAAAAAAAAAAAACAAAAAAAAACAAAAAAAAACAAGAAAAUGUGAAAAGAACAAACAACACUGAAUGUGUCUGCUGUUUCUUAUCUCACAAAUAAACUGAGGAUUCAUUUAUUUCCGUGGGCAUUACUUUUCUUUGAUUGAGCGAAACUUGCAUUUUUAUGGAUAUUUGAUUUCGUGGUUUUGUUUAUUCAGCAUAUAAAGCCUGCAGAAAAUUCGUAUUUCGUUGACAUCAAACAAAUAAUAAUGAUUCCUAAGUUAUUGAUUAAGAAAAAAACAU
rnacentral:lncRNA from 1 species